CUUCUCUGAUGUUAGCGGCGGACGGGUGAGUAACACGUGGGUAACCUACCUAUAAGACUGGGAUAACUCCGGGAAACCGGGGCUAAUACCGGAUAAUAUUUUGAACCGCAUGGUUCAAUAGUGAAAGACGGUUUCGGCUGUCACUUAUAGAUGGACCCGCGCCGUAUUAGCUAGUUGGUAAGGUAACGGCUUACCAAGGCGACGAUACGUAGCCGACCUGAGAGGGUGAUCGGCCACACUGGAACUGAGACACGGUCCAGACUCCUACGGGAGGCAGCAGAA
rnacentral:rRNA from 1 species